rnacentral:lncRNA from 1 species
CUCCCUCCCUCACCACCCCCUGCGAGGACCUCAGGGGGCGGCCGCGCGGUGCGCGGCCCCGCGGGCUUAGCCUUCGUGACCCGCGUGCUGGCUCUGGCGUCCGGGCUCCCGGGCGUCCGCGAGAAUCCCAUUAUGUAGUUCAGGCUGACCUUGAACUCACUAUGUAACCCAGACUGUCCUCUAACCCUAGAGGAUCCUCCUGCCUCAGCCUCCCAAGUACUGGGAUUACAGGGAUGGAACUCGGGUCCUUGUGCUUGCGCAGCAGGCGGCGAAACCACUGAGCUAAAUCCCCGGCCCUGUUUAACUCUUUUGACUAAAGAUAAGUGUUAGGAUUUGAUAUUCUGGGAGGGGAAGGGGUGAAAGGAUUGUAUCCACCCAUCUUUCCCUCCCACCUGCACCUGAAGCUAGCUCUUGCACUCUAUUCUUGGUCAAAAAUGGGAGAUGAAACACUGUCCAGCAUACCCACAGCAGUAUAGAAGAAAGAACAGCAGCUGCCAAACCUGCUUCACCAAGUCACACUGCCACUAGUGGUGACCAGGACCAAGGUUUUAACACUUGAGGAGCCUUGAAUGGCAGGGCUAAAUACAACCACCUUGCCUUGUGUUAGCUAGUGGGUGUGUUUUAACAAGUUCCAUAAGUAAGCUUUUACCAUUUGAUACUUCUCAAAUUCAAAUGCAGAUACCUCUUGACUUAUGGAGUUAUGUCACCAUAACCCCAUGGUAAGAUAAAAAUAUUAAGUUAAAAUUGCAUUCAAUACUCCUAAUCUAGGGCCAGGAUUUAGCUCAGUGGUUCGGCCACCUGCCUUGUAAGCGUAAGGACCUGAGUUCAAUCCCCGGUACCAAAAAAAAAAAAAAUACACCUAAUCUAUCAAACAUUGUAACUUGGCCUAACUUUUCUUAAACAUACUCAGAGAACUUACAUCAGUUUACAGUUGGGCAAAAUUAUCUAACACAAACCUAUUUUACAAUAAAAUGUUGAAUAUCUCAUGCAAUUUAUUGAAUAUUGUACUGAAACUGAAAAACAUGGUAGUGUGGGUAGCUUUCACAUGAUCAAAUUGAAAGCUGUAAGUCAGAUCAUCAUAAGUUGGUGACUAUAUGAAAACAUCUUGAAAAUAUAUAAAAAUACUUACAAUAGCAUGCAUGUUUUACUUAUCUCUAUUCUAGUAUUUCUUGGUGCUCAACAGAUGGUCACUUUUCCUUGGCUCUAGCUGGAGUGGUUGCUUGUCUGUCACCCCACAGGCUAGGGUUGGGGAUGGCUUUCACUGCUGCUGGGCUGGGGCUGUUGCACCUUGUUUUUUUUUUUUUGGUACCAGGGAUUGAACUCGGGACCUUGUGCUUGCGAGUCAGGCGGCAAAACCACUGAGCUAAAAGUUGCACCUUGUUGAUUUCCUUAACUCUGCUCACUUCCUUCAAAGUCCAUUUAUACUUCCUAAAUGAACAUGCCUUUCCUUCCCACCUUAGAUGGUACCUGAACAGAUAUGCAUCAAGGUCUAGCCCCUCCAAUUUAAUCUGCAUGCUUUUCCUUCCGCACUCUAGUCUCUGAUACAAAUGAACCCCCUAGAAUCCACCCCCCAACUCUGAACCUUGCAUAUGCUGUUCUAACAAGACUAUUCCAUGAAGACUUCCUAGAUUUCCUUGCAUGUAGGUGUUGUUACUGAGUUUUCCACAUUGUAUCAAUUUUAUUCAUUUAUUUAUUUAUUUUUUGGGGGGUUACUGAGGAUCGAACUCAGAACCUUGCGCUUGUGAGGCAGGUGCCAGAACCACUGAGGUAAAUCCCCGGCCCUAUUUCGGUAUUUUGAAACAAGGUCUCACUAUGUAAUUCAGGGUGGCCUUAAACUUGGGAUAAUCCUCCUGCCUCAGCUUCCUAAGUGUUGAGAUUACAGGCAUGUACCACCUUGCCCAGUUGAUUUUAUUAUUUUUAUACUUUUUUCUUCUUUUGCCACAUUGUACUUGCCGCUUUGCCUUUUCAAAGCUGAAAUUCCUUGAGGCUGAACAUUGUGUCUUAAUGGUAAGUAGAUCUUUGGUGCUUAGUAUAAUAUCUCAUGCAUGGUAGAACAUCAUGAAGGAAUAACUGAAUGGAAACUGAAAAUCAAUUUUUUUCCUCCAUUGGUUCUUCUUCUAGGUUUUCUAUACUUGUAGUUUUUCUCUAAAUUUAAUCAGUUCAAAUUGAAAUUUCCUUUAUUUCAAGUAGUUAAAAUUAUAUUCUUUAUUUUUAUUUAUUUAUUUAUUUUUUGGUUCUGGGAAUCGAACUCGGGUCUUUGCGCUUCCGAGGCAGGUGGCAGAACCACUGAGCUAAAUCCCUGGCCCAAAAUUAUAUUCUUUAAUUAGUAUUUGUAUGAUAGCAUGCUUUUACCACACUGAAUACAGCAGGUAUGCUCUGGAAUGUUCAAUAAAUUUUAUAAUUGAAACAUUUAAGAUUUUAAUACAACUUCAUUUCUUAUUUAAAAUUUUAAUACAAUUUCAUUUCUUUAUUAGUAACAAAGCUUUUUUCUUUUUUGUAUAGCAAACAGUCAUUCUCCAAGUUAUUUGUUUUGGAAAUAUUACUUCUUCCUGUAUCAGAUUUACCUUAAGGUAAUUCCAGUUCUCAUGGGCUUCCUCAAGAUGUGGAUGGCAUAAAGGACACAGAUACCAAGAAGAGCUCACCAUCAUGGCUUUCCUCACGAUAGGCUGCCCUGCUUUCUCCAGAUGAGAAGAACCUGGAAUCUAACUCCAGAAGGAGAGAUGAGCAACCCAGAACCUGCUAAUGCUUAAUUGGUGAGCCACCUUUGGAAGCAGGCUACCCAGAAACAGAAGGAGGAUCACCUUGAGUUCGAGGCCAGCCUGGGCUACAUAGUGAGUUCGAGGCCAGCCUGGACUACAUACAUAGCAAGACCCUGUCUCAAAAAGACCAAAUAAAUAAUAAAUGAAUAAAUAAAUGUCUGAAUUGGAAUUCAAAAAGAAAAGAAGAAAAGUAAUUCCGUGUUGUCCCCUAAGACAUUAUAAGAUUUAACUGAAAAGAAUCAGUUGACUGUCUUUUUCUUUUUUUCUAUGAAUAGAACAGUAAGGACAAAGAUGAACAGUAGUAUUUUUCUUCUGUGCAGUUCCCUUCCAUGUUUUGGGCAGUAGAGAAAGGGAGAGGCAAAUUUCUCCCCAGUCCCUCGUUUCUCUCCCUCUAGCAGGGUGUUUUCUGUAAUUGGCUUUCCACAUUUGCCAAGAGUCUGUUUCCUCUUAACAUCCAACAUGCUUAACAGAAGCCUUGUAAUAGUUCCAAAAAUGAUAAAACCAGACCCAAGAAUAAAAUGAUACACACGACACAUUUGUUUUGGCCAUAGCUUUGGUUAAGUUCUUUUAAAUAAUUUAGGGUUAAAUGUGGUAGAAAUAAAGAUGUUUUCUUCACAGUAAUAAGACCAAAAAGAUGCAGUCAGUGACUCGUGCAGGGUUCAGGGGAGGGGUGAGUUGUCAACACAGAGGCGGGUACAGGACCCUGUGAAAAAGAAGGCACUUCAGUAUUGUGGAUCCAUGUAUGUGUAUAUGUGCCUGUGUGCAGAUGUGGGGGUACUUCUGUGUGUGUGUGUGUGCGUGUGUGUUGCUGUGCAUUGAACACAGGGCCUUAGACAUGCUAUGCAAGUGCUCUAUUGCUGAGCUGCAUUCUCAGCUCUUUAUUUUUUGGCUUUGAGACAGGAUCUUUCUAAAUUGCACAAGCUGGCCUCAAACUUGUGAUUCUCCUGCAUCAGCCUCCUGAGUGACUGGAAUUAGAGGAGCUGAAUCUGAAACUGGGGCACCUCAUAGAGGGAUCCCUGAGCACUGGGAAACCCCCACAGAAACUGAAAGUGAGCCAAGAGUUAACUUGGGUUUGCUACAAAUGGUAUAGUAAACAUCUCACAGACACAGCAAGAAGCCCAGAGGAUAAAGGGACGGGAAAUCAGGUCCAGAGGGACUGAGGAAGUUGGAAGUCCAAAACAGGUAGAAGAGCUGAGGGUACCAAU